rnacentral:tmRNA from 1 species
GGGGGCGACAUGGCUUCGACGUGGGUAGCAAAACCUUAAGUGCAUGCCGAGGACUGUACACCUCGUAAAACCUACAGAAACUAAGUAUUCGCAAAUGACGAAAACUACUCAAUGGCUCUAGCUGCUUAAACACAGCACCAUUCCUUUGACCAUCUGUGCUUAUGCGGGUGGAGUUCGGUUCGCCGAGCGCUCAGAGGUCAUUUACAUAAGAUCGCGCUGAAAUCCGUCCGGUGUGGAUGCGCUAAAACCUUACGGAAUCGCUGGUGAUUUUCUUGGCUCGACGGGUGAUCAUUAGCUAAAUUAAAGACGAGAUAAGCAUGUAGACCUUAAGGCGGAGUGCUUGCGGACGGGGGUUCAAUUCCCCCCGCCUCCACCA